GCGUGGAUGAUGAAGGCCUUCGGGUUGUAAAGUCCUUUCGCACGUGACGAUGAUGACGGUAACGUGAGAAGAAGCCCCGGCUAACUUCGUGCCAGCAGCCGCGGUAAUACGAAGGGGGCUAGCGUUGUUCGGAAUUACUGGGCGUAAAGCGCGCGUAGGCGGUUCUUUAAGUUAGGCGUGAAAGCCCCAGGCUCAACCUGGGAACUGCGCUUGAUACUGGAGAGCUUGAGUCCGUGAGAGGAUAGCGGAAUUCCCAGUGUAGAGGUGAAAUUCGU
rnacentral:rRNA from 1 species